rnacentral:rRNA from 1 species
UGAGGAACAUGACUUUCGGCGGGGGAUAGCCGGCCCAACGGCCGGGUAAUACCGCGUACGACCACAUGGGGACAUCCCUGAGUGGUGAAAGCAGCAAUGCGCCGAUGGAGUGCCUCGCGGCCUAUCAGCUAGUUGGUGAGGUAACGGCUCACCAAGGCAACGACGGGUAGCUGGUCUGAGAGGAUGGCCAGCCACAUUGGGACUGAGACACGGCCCAGACCUNUACGGGGAGG